AUUGAACGCUGGCGGCAGGCCUAACUCAUGCAAGUCGAACGAAGUCUUCGGACUUAGUGGCGGACGGGUGAGUAACACGUGGGAACGUGCCUUUAGGUUCGGAAUAACUCAGGGAAACUUGUGCUAAUACCGAAUGUGCCCUUCGGGGGAAAGAUUUAUCGCCUUUAGAGCGGCCCGCGUCUGAUUAGCUAGUUGGUGAGGUAAAGGCUCACCAAGGCUACGAUCAGUAGCUGGUCUGAGAGGAUGACCAGCCACAUUGGGACUGAGACACGGGCCAAACUCCUACGGGAGGCAUCAGGGGGGAAUCUUGCGCAAUGGGCGAAAGCCUGACGCAGCCAUGCCGCGUGGAUGAUGAAGGUCUUAGGAUUGUAAAAUCCUCUCACCGGUGAAGAUAAUGACUGUAGCCGGAGAAGAAGCCCCGGCUAACUUCGUGCCAGCCGCCGCGGUAACAC
rnacentral:rRNA from 1 species